rnacentral:rRNA from 1 species
UACAGAGGGUGCGAGCGUUAAUCGGAAUUACUGGGCGUAAAGGGCGCGUAGGCGGUUAUGUAAGAUAGAUGUGAAAUCCCUGGGCUUAACCUAGGAAUUGCAUCUGUGACUGGAUAACUGGAGUGCGGUAGAGGGUAGUGGAAUUUCCGGUGUAGCGGUGAAAUGCGUAGAUAUCGGAAGGAACACCAGUGGCGAAGGCGGCUACCUGGACUGACACUGACGCUGAGGCGCGAGAGCGUGGGGAGCAACAGG